CGCAGACAGGACUGUGGCCCUGACAAUACUAUGAGCUGGCUGGGAAGAGGCUUGCUGCUGGCUUCUCUGCUCUUGGCUCGCUGGCCUCGGGAUGGAGAUUUGGGGGAACAUUCGUAGCAGCGGCUGAAGCCAUUUAUUUCGAGGAUCCUCCCUGUUUCUCUCCUACUCAGCAUUGACUGCCAGCUGACGUUUUUUCCUUGAAAGAACGGAAAGAUUCUUUCGGAAGCUCCAAGACCGAGUAAGUCUGCAGGUGUGCUCCCGGCUAACUUCUCUUUUGGGCACGAAGUGUUUUGACUUGUAUUUGAUGUUGAGGACAUUUUGUGAGCACACAGUAUCAUUUGGGCAUUUUGCCAACUGGUUGUGAGGUGUGUCUACUAGGGAGGACCAUUUGUAAACACAGAGAGACACUGGGGCCUUUUGUCAACUGGUUGUGAUGUGUGCCUACCAUGGAGGGCCAUUUGUGAGCACGGAGAGGCAUUGGGACGUUUUGCCAACUGGUUGUGAUGUGUGUUUGAUGUUGAGGACCCUUUGGGUGGGGAAGUAUUGAUUUGGGACUCUGUCCUCGGUCAUCCUCUUGGUAAAUCUGGACAGUCUAUCUUCUGUGUGAGUGUAUAUUCCAUUUGUGUGGAUGCACCACUUGUAGGAACCAUUCCUGGAUAGUAAAUUCCAGACAUGAUGGUGAGGACUCUUGGCCAUGGCCAUCAGAAUUGAUGUCUUUACGUUUUGAGCCUUGGACCUAUCAGCUGAUGGUAAAAGAAGGGGAACGAGAAAAAAAGUGAAAAGAAAAUGAAGGCAAUAUACUUGAAAAACAAGACAAGGUGUUCCUUUCAAUUACAUUGACAAAUGAAAUAUUAGUAAAGAAAAUACAAUAUAAAGCAACUGGCUUCCACAUUUCUCUUAGGAAAUGACAAUUAUGUACUCAGUUGAUGAAUAUCAUUUUGAAAUCAUAGGUGAAUCUUUCAUGAUAUUAAGAUCUAUUUGGAACAGCUCAAUACUAACAUAUAUAGGGAAGUUCACUUUUUCAUAAGGAAUAUAGAAUGUUUUAGUCACAGAGAGGGCAUUUUCUUUGUCUGAGGCCACUCAUCCUAUAUGUACAAAUAUUAUGUUAAUAGUAUGCGUUUUAGGCUUAUAUCUAAUUAUUAGGUUGGACUGUGAAGAAGGCUGAGCACCGAAGAAUUGAUGCUUUUGAACUGUGGUGUUGGAGAAGACUCUUGAGAGUCCCUUGGACUGCAAGGAGAUCCAACCAGUCCAUUCUGAAGGGGAUCAGCCCUGGGAUUUCUUUGGAAGGAAUGAUGCUAAAGCUGAAACUCCAAU
ensembl:lncRNA